GCCAAUUCUAGCAUAGGAGACCUUGGCAUGUCUCCUACCAGUGGGAGACCAAAAUACCUGCUAUAGAAGGUGGAACCGGUAAUACCAAUAUAUUUUUUAUUAUUUUACUAUUUAGUUUUAGACAUAAUAAAUAAUGUUUCUAAAUAUUUGGCAAAUUGAUUUAUUUAUUCAUUAAAAACAAUACUUUAUUAAUAGAAAUUAGAAGUGAAAUUAUUCACUUUUCACCGAGAUUUAUCAUCGAUAGAACACGAUUGUUCUUUGAACUUUGAAGAGAAACCAUUGACACCGACGAAUUCAAUUUGAAGAGCAGAUCGGACUCUAAUCAGCGA
rnacentral:lncRNA from 1 species